GGCGGAGUGGUUUGAGGUUUGGACUAGGACUAGGAGUCUGUAGAUCAGGGUUCAAUUCCCUGCUUGGCCA